GGCGGGUCUCCCCGCAUUGCCAAGUCGUGAAUCUGGUCAGGUCCGGAAGGAAGCAGCCACAGCGGUGUAGGCAAGUGCCGGGGGUCGGGCUCGCCACCU
rnacentral:SRP_RNA from 1 species